GAUCCUGGCUCAGGAUGAACGCUAGCUAUAGGCUUAACACAUGCAAGUCGAGGGGUAACAAGGAGAGAGCUUGCUCUUUCUGUUGACGACCGGCGCACGGGUGAGUAACACGUAUCCAACCUACCGUAUACACUGGGAUAGCUCUUCGAAAGAAGGAUUAAUACUAGAUGUUAAGAUGUUCUCGCCUGGGAAUAUCUUCAAAGAUUUAUCGGUAUACGAUGGGGAUGCGUUCCAUUAGACAGUUGGUGAGGUAACGGCUCACCAAAUCGACGAUGGAUAGGGGUUCUGAGAGGAAGAUCCCCCACAUUGGAACUGAGACACGGUCCAAACUCCUACGGGAGGCAGCAGUGAGGAAUAUUGGUCAAUGGACGCGAGUCUGAACCAGCCAAGUAGCGUGAAGGAAGACUGCCCUAUGGGUUGUAAACUUCUUUUGUUAGGGAAUAAAGUGCGCCACGUGUGGUGUUUUGUAUGUACCUAACGAAUAAGGAUCGGCUAACUCCGUG
rnacentral:rRNA from 1 species